GCUAAACGCGAAGAACCUUACCUGGCCUUGACAUGUCCGGAAUUCUGCAGAGAUGCGGAAGUGCCUUCGGGAAUCGGAACACAGGUGCUGCAUGGCUGUCGUCAGCUCGUGUCGUGAGAUGUUGGGUUAAGUCCCGCAACGAGCGCAACCCUUGUCCUUAGUUGCCAGCGAGUAAUGUCGGGAACUCUAAGGAGACUGCCGGUGACAAACCGGAGGAAGGUGGGGAUGACGUCAAGUCCUCAUGGCCCUUACGGCCAGGGCUACACACGUACUACAAUGGUCGGUACAGAGGGUUGCCAAACCGCAAGGUGAGCCAAUCCCAGAAAGCCGAUCCCAGUCCGGAUCGAAGCCUGCAACUCGACUCCGUGAAGUCGGAAUCGCUAGUAAUCGCGGAUCAGCACGCCGCGGUGAAUCCGUUCCCGGGUCUUGUACACACCG
rnacentral:rRNA from 1 species